AAACAAGCUCGAGCCGAUAUUAUUGAGUUAUAGCUCAUUCGAUUCGUCGUUCAAUUCUAGCGAGGGGGUGUCUGCCAUUUUUUCUCAAAAAAAUCCAGUUUGGGUGUAAUGUGUCUACAUCAAACUUUAAAAUUUUGA